rnacentral:rRNA from 1 species
ACCUCGAAUCAGGUAGGAAUACCCGCUGAACUUAAGCAUAUCAAUAAGCGGAGGAAAAGAAACCAACAGGGAUUGCCCCAGUAACGGCGAGUGAAGCGGCAACAGCUCAAAUUUGAAAUCUGGCUCUCGGGCCCGAGUUGUAAUUUGUAGAGGAUGCUUUUGGUGAGGUGCCUUCCGAGUUCCCUGGAACGGGACGCCAUAGAGGGUGAGAGCCCCGUCUGGUUGGACGCCGAACCUCUGUAAAGCUCCUUCGACGAGUCGAGUAGUUUGGGAAUGCUGCUCUAAAUGGGAGGUAUAUGUCUUCUAAAGCUAAAUACCGGCCAGAGACCGAUAGCGCACAAGUAGAGUGAUCGAAAGAUGAAAAGAACUUUGAAAAGAGAGUUAAACAGUACGUGAAAUUGUUGAAAGGGAAGCGCUUGUGACCAGACUUGGGCUUGGUUGAUCAUCCGGGGUUCUCCCCGGUGCACUCUUCCGGCCCAGGCCAGCAUCAGUUCGCCCUGGGGGACAAAGGCAUCGGGAACGUGGCUCUCUCCGGGGAGUGUUAUAGCCCGUUGCGUAAUACCCUGCGGCGGACUG